rnacentral:rRNA from 1 species
GACGAACGCUGGCGGCGUGCUUAACACAUGCCAGUCGAACGGAAAGGCCCUGCUUGCAGGGUACUCGAGUGGCGAACGGGUGAGUAACACUUGGGUGAUCUGCCCUGCACUUCGGGAUAAGCCUGGGAAACUGGGUCUAAUACCGGAUAGGAGCCAUUUUUAGUGUGAUGGUUGGAAAGUUUUUUCGGUGUAGGAUGAGCUCGCGGCCUAUCAGCUUGUUGGUGGGGUAAUGGCCUACCAAGGCGGCGACGGGUAGCCGGCCUGAGAGGGUGGACGGCCACAUUGGGACUGAGAUACGGCCCAGACUCCUACGGGAGGCAGCAGUGGGGAAUAUUGGACAAUGGGCGAAAGCCUGAUCCAGCAAUGCCGCGUGAGUGAUGAAGGCCUUAGGGUUGUAAAGCUCUUUUACCCGGGAUGAUAAUGACAGUACCGGGAGAAUAAGCUCCGGCUAACUCCGUG